GUGGGGGAUAACAUAGGGAAACUUAUGCUAAUACCGCAUACGACCUACGGGUGAAAGCGGGGGAUCGCAAGACCUCGCGCGAUUGGAUGAGCCGAUGUCCGAUUAGCUAGUUGGCGGGGUAAUGGCCCACCAAGGCGACGAUCGGUAGCUGGUCUGAGAGGAUGAUCAGCCACACUGGAACUGAGACACGGUCCAGACUCCUACGGGAGGCAGCAGUGGGGAAUAUUGGACAAUGGGCGCAAGCCUGAUCCAGCCAUGCCGCGUGGGUGAAGAAGGCCUUCGGGUUGUAAAGCCCUUUUGUCCGGAAAGAAAAGCACUGGAUUAAUACUUCGGUGUUCUGACGGUACCGGA
rnacentral:rRNA from 5 species